AAAACAAAACAAAACAAACAAACAAACAAAAAACACGCAAAAGAAAACCCUUGGCCAGACUGCAAAUAUUUAUAAUCACAUGCUUCUUGGCUUCACAGAAAAAGUUGAUUCUGGAGUCCUUUCAAAGAUGCCCCAGAGAAGAGUUCCCUCUGUGGCUCAAUGGGAUCAGUGGCAUCUCUGCAUCUCCAGGACACAGAUUUGAUCCCCAGCCCAUCACAGUGGAACAGUGUUGCCACAGCUGCAGCAUGGGUCACAACUGCGGCUGGGAUCCCAUCCCUGGCCCGGGUGGGAACUCCAUCUGCCCUGCAGUGGCCCAAAAAGAGAACAAAACAAAACAGCAAAAGAUGGCCUGCCUGUGUGUACAGUGGAAUUUGAAUAACCAAAGGUGUGCUUAGGCCCAGCUCUCCAGACAUUCACCCAAGACAGAACUGGAAGUCCCAGGGAGCAGGUACUAAUGAGGUGGCCUCGUUUCCAUGACUACCACUCUAACACCUGGUGGAGUGACUGGUUCCACGAGUUGUAUGAUAGUAAAGCUAUUCCAGACCCUGGCAUGAACAACUGCCUAGGAGCAACGACCAGAACUCAAGAGUCGCCUGCAUUGCUUGUGUCACGGACCUCUUUGGCGACUUCGCACAAGUCAGUUCACUUUUGUCAAUAUCAUGCCCCUUUCUUGGAAAAAGAGAGGAUGCCUUAAACCACAGCUAGGUUCCCUUCCCAGCCUGACAUAGUGUCCUCUGCAAGGGUCCACGAAGGACGUCAUUGCUGGGCAUGAGUAGGAACGGAACGUGGUACGAUGCCUGCCGGAUGCAGAAGAGAAGGCGUCCAGUCUGCCCGAGGGUCCCAUCUCUGUGACAUCCCCCUGUGCCGGGACCACUGGACAAGUGAUAAAUGGAGAGCUAUUAUGACGGUGCCAGCGGCAGGGAGAGAAGCCACAGCAGAGGAAGUCUUUCAGCAAGGGCCCCACAGUGUCCCGUCUCUGCAGCUGGAGCUCUGCGGCGUCCAGGCUCUGAGACCACCUCGGCUACAGUCAGGCAGCCUUUUGUGACCCCCAUCGUCAUCACCUCUGCUCAGGUAGGAGGUCAACUGAGGCAUCUCUUUCUGCCUUGACUUCAUUUAUUCAUUCAACAAACACAUGCCUAGAGCCUACUAUUUCCCAGGCACUGUGCUGGGUGUUGGUGUGACACAGAUUCAAUACCUAGGGGUAAGGAACUGAGGUGACAGCCGGGGAGACCAACAAUCCCCUUUGAAGGGGACAAUGCACUUAAACACCCAGAGGCCAGAUCAAGGGCCAGGCCGGACUCCAGAAUGCCUGGCUUCUGAGGAGGAGGUCGAGCUGUUUACCUGGACUGGGAGGGUUAACAGGGGAGCGGGAGUCCAAAUUGGGCUUUGGGGGCUUGUGGGAGCAGCAGCGGGGAGG
rnacentral:lncRNA from 1 species